GCAGCGUCCCUUCUCUAGCAGCAGGUCUUCUCUUUGGUGGCUUAGCAGGACUAGGUGCCUACCAGCAGUCCAAAGAUCCAAGGAAUGUGUGGCUUUCCCUCGUGGCGUCUGGAACCUUGUCUGCUGUUAUGGGAAUGAGAUUUUACAACUCCAGAAAAGCAAUGCCGGGGAUAAUUGCUGGUGCCAGUUUACUGAUGGUUGGACGGCUUGGAUUGCAGAUGAUGGAAAAGCCUCUUAAGCCGUAAGUCUGCAUCAAGUCCCUUGAAGAUACGUGAUUUGAGAAGCCUGAAAAUGCAACUGCCUAAAUGUGCUACACAAAAGUGGAAAAGGCACUGCUGUCUAUGCAUUGUAUUUUUCAUAUCCUAAUGCAUGUGGGUUGUGUUUUUAAAGGACCGACACCGAGAUCCCUGUUAUGUCUUCCAGAAUGGUAUUUGUCUUAACAUUUUCUGCACUGUGAAGCAAGAAAAUAUGAGUAUAGCAUUAGUUUGGCUUCUGGUCCUGCAACUUACUGCAGGCAAAGACCUCUUGGCACUUGAAUACAGACAGUUGCAGGACCGAAGCGUAAAUGUACAUCUGGACUUGUCAUUCUAAAAUCAUCUAUACCUCUAAAACGAGGAGAGAGGAGUUGCCAAUUCCUCACUAGUAAUUAAUAUAACAAACAUGCUUAUUACGUCACCUCUCCCCUUCCACUUCCCUGCCAGUUUAUCCGGUCAUCAUGUUUGUCAGUCAGGGACUUUGUUCUCCCAGCACUGUGCGUUAGAACCUGGUCCCACAAAACACAAUCACGGAGCAGGCCGUCAAGGUUCUGCUGUAAUGCAAUGAAGGCAAACCUGUUACUUGCAAUUACUUGUAAGCAAAAGUGCCCAGCUAAAUGUCAUCAUUUCACUUUUACAGAUUAUCAUUCAUAAAUCAAAAAUAUGCUUUAUUAGAUAAUGCUGAACUGUAGGCAUAGCUCUUGCAAUUCAUGAGAAUUAAAAUGUUAUUCUAAAUAAACCAACAAAUUAUUAUUACAAA